AGAUCAGAAUAUUAUGGCAUUGUGAAAAGAUUUUAAACAUUCUAAACUGGCUCUGUAUCCAUAACAACGGUUUCAACUUCCUCAAUGUAUGUGACAGUUGGUAAUGUUAUUAGCUAACUUUGUUAGUUACCUUUUAACGAAAGGUAAUGGAUUACAAAUCAAGAUGUUCUACUGAGAAAAAGCGAUUAAGUGCCAGGGAGAAGUUAUUGGAAGAGAGGCUGUGGCAGCAGAAGAGAGAGUUGAAGAGGUUAAAUGAUGAGCAACAGCACCUGAUCGACUUAAAUGCCAAGCUAGAAGAGCUCACACGGACAUGUUCCCUACCAGAGGUAUUUGUGUGACGAGUUACCAGGAAGUCGCAGAUUUCCCUGCAGCCCAUUCGACCUGUGCAGCCCUUACAGCCUCUAGUUCCAGUGAAGCCAUGAUGAACCACACAGAGCACGCUGCUUCAGCCAGUUCACUCAAGACACAGCUGUGGACUAACUGUGAGGUGCAGCGACACCAGAUCCUGGGAGGGAACCUGAGCCAGAAGAGGACCAGGGCCUGAAUCUUUAAUGGCAGAGUGUCAGGGUAGAUACAGAUUGAAUGACUCCUACAAAAGGCAUGGGAUGGAGGAGCAGCUUUCAGAGCACCAGUGGAUGGAUGACAGGACGAUGGCCACGUGGGGAGGGUCCACGCCGUGUCUGCUGGAGGAAGAUGGCUAUGAGAUGGGGGUUGAGGAGGAGGAAGUGGAAGUGGACUCCAGUUUAAGUGAAGAGUCCUCUGAGUCUAUCAGAAUGAGACAGUCCAACAGGACCAGAGGAUCCAGAGAAAGGUUGCUGUUGACUGUUUCCCAUUCCACUUUACAUUGUUUUGAUGUAGGAAAACAUGGAGACAUUGUCUGCAUCCCAAAUGGCACCCUAUUCUCUUCACAGUGCACUUCUUUUGACCAGGGCCCAUAGGGGCCCAUAAAGUGCGCUAUAUAGGUAAUAGGGUGCCAUUUGGGACGCAGACAAUCUAUCCGGGCCUGGUCUUCCCUCCCCAGUGACCCCUCUGUGGAGGGGAACCUGCGUCCCUCUCUCUGGGCCAGGGGUCAGCUGUCAGGAGUCGUGGCCAGGAAAAGGUGCACUGGGUGUCGGAGCUGUCCAGUGUGCAGCAGAGGCAGCAGAGGCAGCAGAGGCAGCAGGAGUAGAUACACCAGCUCCAGAGACAACUGGACUACAGUACAAGGGUUUGCCACUCACUGGGACAGAACCAGCAGUCUGUACUCUACCUGAGCCUUUAUGGCAUCAGCCCUGGACACACACAGAUCUACCUUAUCAUCAACCAACUCAACCACUACGGCACCCAGCUGGCCAGACAACAGAACAACAUCCAAAGAAUGAGGCAGCUUUUGAAUGAUCUCCUACACGAACAACAGUCUCAACCUCCCUUGCCUCCCCCCAUAAAUACCUUGAACAUGAGUGACAUCAACACCUUUUCAUAUCCUCC